rnacentral:rRNA from 2 species
UGAACAAGGUUUCCGUAGGUGAACCUGCGGAAGGAUCAUUA